GGCGAGUGAAGCGGGAAGAGCUCAAGCUUAAAAUCUCCGUGCAAGUUUUGUGCGGCGAAUUGUAGUCUAUAGAGGCGUGGUCAGCGUGGGCGCUUGGGGCAAGUUCCUUGGAAGAGGACAGCAUGGAGGGUGAUACUCCCGUUCAUCCCUGAGUGGCUCGUGCGUACGACCCGUUUUCUUUGAGUCGCGUUGUUUGGGAAUGCAGCGCAAAGUAGGUGGUAAAUUCCAUCUAAAGCUAAAUAUUGGUGCGAGACCGAUAGCGAACAAGUACCGUGAGGGAAAGAUGAAAAGAACUUUGAAAAGAGAGUUAAAGAGUACCUGAAACUGCUGAAAGGGAACCGAAUCGUUUCCAGUGUCUAUAAUCUGUGGCAUAUUUCAUUGGCGAGCGUUUGCGUGCGUGUGCUGUGGCAGUGGCUUUUUUGGCUGCGCCUGGUGUGUGUGGUGUGAGUGUUUGCUGGUGCCCUGUGCUGCGGUGGGACGUCAAGGUCAGUUCGUAUGCUGCGGGAAAUGGCUGCCGAGGAGGUAGGGCUUACGCUCCGCGUUUGUCUGUUAUAUCUUGGUGGACGAGUCGUCGCGGUUGGGACUGAGGUGCCUACAACGUGCUUUUGAGUGGGUUUGUGUCUCCGUGUGCGCCGUGUGCGGAUAGCUUGCUAUGCGUGUGUGGUUGUGUGUGGAUUGAUGCGGGCCUUAACUUGUCGCCGUUCGGGA
rnacentral:rRNA from 1 species